rnacentral:snRNA from 1 species
UUAUCUCUGAGUACUACUUGCACAAUUCGAAGAAGAGUAUUUUCCCCUCAAAUGAUGUUGGAGCCGGUGGUGAAAAGUACGUCUUUCACAAUAUCAUCUUCAAAUUCUGUACAGCACAGAAGACAGGGCUCUUUGAAGAUGAUGCCUACGCAGCCAAGGUUGCUGCUCACGAACUGAUCGGCUUGCAAUCUUACU